rnacentral:rRNA from 1 species
GAUGAACGCUGGCGGCGUGCUUAACACAUGCAAGUCGAACGAAGCACUUUAUUUGAUUUCCUUCGGGACUGAUUAUUUUGUGACUGAGUGGCGGACGGGUGAGUAACGCGUGGGUAACCUGCCUUGUACAGGGGGAUAACAGUUGGAAACGGCUGCUAAUACCGCAUAAGCGCACAGCAUCGCAUGAUGCAGUGUGAAAAACUACGGUGGUAUAAGAUGGACCCGCGUUGGAUUAGCUAGUUGGUGAGGUAACGGCCCACCAAGGCGACGAUCCAUAGCCGACCUGAGAGUGUGACCGGCCACAUUGGGACUGAGACACGGCCCAAACUCCUACGGGAGGCAGCAGUGGGGAAUAUUGCACAAUGGGCGAAAGCCUGAUGCAGCGACGCCGCGUGAGCGAAGAAGUAUUUCGGUAUGUAAAGCUCUAUCAGCAGGGAAGAUAAUGACGGUACCUGACGAAGAAGCACCGGCUAAAUACGUG